rnacentral:rRNA from 1 species
UCGAGAGGUGUAAGACCUCGGCAUACUGCUCAGUAAUACGUGGUUAACCUGCCCUAAGGUGGAGCAUACUCCCGGGAAACUGGGGCUAAUACUCCAUAGUGGAUGCAUCCUGGAAUGGUGCAUCCUCGAAAGAUCCGUCGCCUUAGGAUGGGACUGCGUCCGAUUAGGUUGUUGGCGGGGUAACGGCCCACCAAGCCAUUGAUCGGUACGGGUUGUGGGAGCAAGAUCCCGGAGAUGGAUUCUGAGACAUGAAUCCAGGCCCUACGGGGCGCAGCAGGCGCGCAAACUUUACAAUGCGAGCAAUCGUGGUAAGGAAACCCUGAGUGCCUGUCGAUGCAGGCUGUUCAUAUAUCUAAAUCAUAUGUGAAGAAAGGGCAGGGCAAGACCGGUGCCAGCCGCCGCGGUAAUACCGGCUGCUCGAGUGAUGGCCACUAUUACUGGGUUUAAAGCGUCCGUAGCUGGACUGUUAGGUCCCUUGGGAAAUCUUCACGCUUAACGUGAAGGCGUCUAAGAGAUACCGGCAGUCUUGGAACUGGGAGAGGUAAACCGUACUUCGGGGGUAGGAGUGAAAUCUUGUAAUCCUCGAGGGACGACCUAUGGCGAAGGCAGUUUACCAGAACAGCUUCGACAGUGAGGGACGAAAGCUGGGGGAGCAAACGGGAUUAGAUACCCCGGUAGUCCCAGCCGUAAACAAUGUGCGUUAGGUGUGUCGGUAACCACGUGUUACUGAUGCGCCGAAGAGAAAUCGUGAAACGCACCACCUGGGAAGUACGGUCGCAAGGCUGAAACUUAA